rnacentral:rRNA from 1 species
AGAGUUUGAUCCUGGCUCAGAUUGAACGCUGGCGGAAUGCUUUACACAUGCAAGUCGAACGGCAGCACGGGAGCUUGCUCCUGGUGGCGAGUGGCGAACGGGUGAGUAAUGCGUCGGAACGUACCGAGUAAUGGGGGAUAACGCAGCGAAAGCUGUGCUAAUACCGCAUACGCCCUGAGGGGGAAAGCAGGGGAUCGCAAGACCUUGCGUUAUUCGAGCGGCCGACGUCUGAUUAGCUAGUUGGUGGGGUAAAGGCCUACCAAGGCGACGAUCAGUAGCGGGUCUGAGAGGAUGAUCCGCCACACUGGAACUGAGACACGGUCCAGACUCCUACGGGAGGCAGCAGUGGGGAAUUUUGGACAAUGGGGGGAACCCUGAUUCAGCCAUUCCGCGUGAGUGAAGAAGGCCUUCGGGUUGUAAAGCUCUUUCAGCUGGAAAGAAACGGUGCGCUCUAACAUAGCGUGCUAAUGACGGUACCAGCAGAAGAAGCACCGGCUAACUACGUGCCAGCAGCCGCGGUAAUACGGGGGAUGCGAGCGUUAUCCGGAUUUAUUGGGUUUAAAGGGUGCGUAGGCGGAUCAAUAAGUCAGUGGUGAAAUUCUGCAGCUUAACUGUAGACUUGCCAUUGAUACUGUUGGUCUUGAGUAUGGUCAAGGCAGGCGGAAUGUGUAAUGUAGCGGUGAAAUGCUUAGAUAUUACACAGAACACCGAUUGCGAAGGCAGCUUGCUGGGCCAAUACUGACGCUGAUGCACGAAAGCGUGGGGAGCAAACAGGAUUAGAUACCCUGGUAG